UUCAGCUAAAAAGACAGAAACAAGAACAAAGCCUGAUAUCCCUAAGAAUAGACUCCUCAGUCGUUACACCAAAAGAACUACCCCACCGUUCUGCUUUCUUCUUCAAAAAGCCCCACCCAUUCACCAUGGAUUAAAGAAAAACAGCAACGGCUAACCUAGGCCUAAGGAUCAGCAGCCGCCGAACACCAAACAACGACCCUUGAAGAUCGAGCUUCUUCUUCCUGAACAAAACAACCCUAGACUCUAACAUCUUCAGUCGCAACUCCCACAAAAUCAGACCCGCAUAACCCUUACCCCUUUUUUCUUCACAAAAUUGAAACACCAAAACCUUAAGAAAUAGGCAUACACACAAGUAGAGGAGAAAAGCGGACAAGAAUUCUCAUUCAAUUGAAUCAAGGAAUUGAUUUAUUUUUGCUUGUAUGGAGUUUGCAAGAGAUCCCGAGUUUGCCGUUCGAGGUUAGGCUCGUAGUUUCGAUCCUGGUUCUAUUUGGACUUUUAUCGCAAUGUCAAGAUCCGGACAUAGAUACGGGAACAAGAUAUGUCUAUGAUUUCUUCUUUAGACCGAUAGUGUUUACUAUUAAGGCAUGAAACUGAGCAUAUUGAUCGUAGUUUGUUGGAAUUGAUGACAAGAGCAUGAGAUCUGGCAUUCCUAUACUGGCAUGCCAUGUGUCCAAUAAGGUGGCAUGCCACGUGGCCAAAAAUGUCAUUGUCACGUGGGAUUGAGCGUCCACCUUAGACAAUUUUAACGGAGGAAGGUAUAUUUGAUCCAAUUGUAUAAUAACAAGAAUAUUUUUAGACAGAAAGUAUAACAAAGGGUGAACUUGAUCUUUUUCUCAUAGUAGAUGGGUAUAUUUGACCCUUCUCCCUAUUCGUUUUUAUUUUACUUUUAAUGACAAUUUUAUAGUCACUCAAAUAUUAA